GCCCUGCCGAGGGCACAAUCCAUACCAAGGAAAAAGAAGUCAAGCCUCAGAGUCUCCUGCCCUCAUGCGACGGAAAGUGAGUGAGAGCAGCGAGCCUGUGACCGUUGGUGAUGCCAGGCAAGAGGCCACCAUCUGGGAGCCGAGCAAUCGCCAGUCUCGGUGAGGUAAGUGUCUGGUUUGGUGAGGACUCUGCUCACGCCCCACCUAAGUCCGGGUAGGGAAGCCCC